rnacentral:misc_RNA from 1 species
GGAUGAAGAACGUAGCGAAAUGCGAUACGUAAUGUGAAUUGCAGAUUUCAGUGAAUCAUCGAAUCUUUGAACGCACAUUGCGCCCGCUAGUAUUCUGGCGGGCAUGCCUGUUCGAGCGUCAUUUCAACCAUCAAGCCCCCGGCUUGCGUUGGAGCCCUGCGGCUGCCGCAGGCUCCCAAAACCAGUGGCGGGCUCGUCGUCGUACCGAGUGCAGUAAACAUCCUCGCUCAGGGAACGCGGCGGGUUCUUGCCGUGAAACCCCCCCCACAUCAAGGUUGACCUCGGAUCAGGUAGGAAUACCCGCUGAACUUAAGCAUAUCAAUAAGCGGAGGA